rnacentral:tRNA from 2 species
GCCUCCUUAGUGCAGUAGGCAGCGCAUCAGUCUCAUAAUCUGAAGGUUCUGAGUUCAAACCUCAGAGGGGGCA